UUCUUAUCAAGAGCAGGUGGAGGGACUAGCCCUAUGAAGCCCGGCAACCGACUUUCUGAAUUUAGAAAGCACGGUGCUAAUUCUUGCAGCAUAAAAGCUGAUAGAUAAGGA
rnacentral:ncRNA from 1 species